rnacentral:rRNA from 1 species
AGAGUUUGAUCCUGGCUCAGAUUGAACGCUAGCGGCAUGCUUAACACAUGCAAGUCGAACGGCAGCACGAGGAGCUUGCUCCUUGGUGGCGAGUGGCGGACGGGUGAGUAACGCGUAGGAAUCUACCUUUUAGUGGGGGAUAACCCGGGGAAACUCGGGCUAAUACCGCAUAAUCUCUACGGAGCAAAGUGGGGGACCAU